UAGGGAAUCUUCGGCAAUGGACGAAAGUCUGACCGAGCAACGCCGCGUGAGUGAAGAAGGUUUUCGGAUCGUAAAACUCUGUUGUUAGAGAAGAACAAGGACGUUAGUAACUGAACGUCCCCUGACGGUAUCUAACCAGAAAGCCACGGCUAACUACGUGCCAGCAGCCGCGGUAAUACGUAGGUGGCAAGCGUUGUCCGGAUUUAUUGGGCGUAAAGCGAGCGCAGGCGGUUUCUUAAGUCUGAUGUGAAAGCCCCCGGCUCAACCGGUGAGGGUGAUUGGAGACUGGGAGACUUGAGUACAGAAGAGGGGAAUGGAAUUCCGUGUGUAGCGGUUAAAUGCGUAUAUAUAUGGAGGAACACCAGUGGCGAAGGCGACUCUCUGGUCUGUAACUGUCGCUGAGGCUCGAAAGCGUGGGGAGCAAACAGG
rnacentral:rRNA from 1 species